AGCCCCUUUCUGGAGAGAUGCCUGGCUGGACCACAGGAGCGCUGUGCUCUGAGCUUAGAAAGGGAGGUGGCGGAUGGAGUGGGAAGUGAGAGACACUGAUUUUUAAAUAUCAAAAUUUCCCUUCUGAAGUCGUUCAGAUGUGUUCCUUAAAAAGAAGAUGGAACUCUCUGUAGAGCGUCUCAAUCCACUUUUAACCAUGGAUGAGAACAGACUCCAUUUACCCUGAAAUAGCAGCUUCUCUUGAGAGGAGAGUGACAUUGAAGCAACUCCGUCUGCUCCAGCUGACCCCCUCACACCGAGUUCACAGUGUGCCCUCCCUCCCUCCCAUCUGGGGGUGGUGCCUUAUGCUGGGUGUUGGAGCAGAGUGAGGGAGAGGAAAAUAAAGAGCUGCACAUCUGACCCCAAGGUGUCAGGCCGGUUUACGGGUAACCACCUGAGAAGUAGUUUCAGCCACAGAAGAAACGAACACGUCUGGGGGCUGUGAGUCGCUGGGACGUGGUGGGGACUUUCCCCUAGAGUGGUCUGGCCCCCGUCUGAAUCUUAGGCUCUGGUGUGAAAAAGAAACCCAGAGCUGCUCAUACAACAGUGGGACAUGACAACGGUUUGGCUUCCCAGCUCAGACACACCAUGUUAUAGGGGACCACAAACAAGAUGGUGAGUGCACCAAGGGCUUUGCAGGGACUGUGGCCUGGCGGGGUCAGGGCUGGGUGCCUGGUUUCUGUUCACAUUUACUCUUGGCUGGGCCAUCCCUGUCCUCUUCCUCAGGCAGCACCCCCUGUGUGAGUUUACUCAUACCUCAGGCUGGAGACACAGGUCUUUGUACACAGUCUCCACACUGUGGCAGACUUGUUUGAGCUCUGUCUCCAAAUGGCUGAUCUUUGCCAUUUUCUGGGUGAACUCUUGGAGCUUUUCCUGGAUGAUCUUGUUAUGGUCAUUAUAAAUCUGAUAGAUCCUCUCCUCUAAUUUCUCUGUCAGAUCCGAAACCUGUUAAAGAAUAAGAUGUGUU
rnacentral:sRNA from 1 species